GACAUUGUGUUGCAGUGCAGUCCGUGUUCGGAUGUGCAUGCGCAAGGAACUUCCUUCUUUGGAACUGCUUCUUGUAUGAGCUGUUUCGGAUAUUUCGACUCCUGGCCUGGCUUAUUUCGUUUCGGCGCUGCUGAGACCUCCUUUCGCGGAAUAUUACUGACAGUGUACGAAGAACGCGAGUUCACGAAAAUCGUGGACUACCAGUUUGAAGUCAUUGAACUACUUCCAAAAGUUGUAUCGACAUCAACAGGAUUACGAUUUCAGUGCAAUAUGAUGCAGGAUGACCUUAUCACGAUAACCCAUGAUUAUAAACCAUUAUAAACACAGAAUCAACAAAAACAUCUGCGACA